AAGCUUGCCGACCAUUUUUAUUUAGUUUCCACACGGUAAUAUCUCUGUCGUGUAUGUGAACCAGAUCAUCAGGGUAACUAUCAAGAGGGACUCUCUUCCUAGAAACAAAAUCUUAAACAAGCAAAUGCGUUAUCAGUAUCCGCAUUUUAUUUUCACUUCCUAACGCAUGGCGAUUUCUGGCAAUUCCGCGACCUUCUGCCAUAUACACAUACCGUAGCACUAAGCUGAGCUAUCGUUUACGUGACUAGUGUGACUCAUGUACUCACGAGGUUGGUUGUAGGGCAGUGAAGAAUUAGUGAAUCACCGGGCAGUUUACUCUUCCAUAGGGAAAUAAAACAGAAGUCAUGAGUGUCACGCCAACAGAGUCACUCAAAACCUGGGAAUCUGCUUUCAUUGCUUAUCUCCGAGAUUCAAAUUACCACAACACCCAGCUCAGGGAAAACAACAUCAAGAAUAUCUAUAACAUGUUAUUUGUGUAUGAAUGCCGAAACAAGAAUAUGGGUGAGCCUCCCCAAAUAGAAGACCUAAUGAUAUUCAUGAUAGAAAAUGGAACUUUAUCACGUGAAAAUGAUGUGUAUAGACUGUGCUGAACACCAUUGUGUGUAAAUUAAUAAAUUGUAUAAAUUAUACUGAUUUGUCGUUCGUCGGUGUAUAUUACAUAGAUUUAAAAUAAUCCAAUACUGAAUAUAUAUAGCCAAUGCAUCAUCCUUGCUCAUGUGAUAAGCGAGAUGCCAUUACCAUUAGCUUUUCUGCAGUAUCGUCGACAGGGGCACAGGACCCUCAGAAUUUGUUGCCUUAAUAUAUUGUUUUACUGGAUACUUGUCGGGGUCCGAACAUUCGACUGAAAUUAUUUUUCUAGCUUAAUAACGACCAGAAUAACAACUUUUUCUUAUUAAUUUCUUAAGGCCCAGACAAUUUCUUUCUUUCUUUAUUAAACCUACCAUCCCUGUCGCCUGUAUGUAAAGGGCUAACUUCUUUGCUUGACACAAGGGAGGUUGAAAGGUCCAGCGAUUUUAUGUACUGGAUGUGAAGUUGGUAGAAAAAGACUUGAGCGAUACUAUUAGUAAUCUCGCCAUUGGGAAAGCACUUACUGUUAUUAUAAUUGAAUAUUGACAUGGGAACGAGCGGAAUUUAUCUCAAACACCAUCAAGGCCCACGAAGUACGAACGAAAAUAUUUUCUUUGAGAAGGGAAAAAACAUAGGGCCGACACCUAUGAAUUAUUCCGGGGCUCUCGACGCCUCUAAGUUUCUGUAGGUGUUAAGCAUUGAAAUGUAAUGUCAUUACUGCUAUAUACGAUUCAGUUAUUUUUUCUUCUUGUUUGAACUGUAUUCUUUAGUGUAGAAUUUGCAAUAAAAAGUAAUGAUAUUAAA